GUUGCCCCCCAAGUGGUCAGGCAGCAAUACAAUANGUAUACGGCAACGUAUCGGGGGUUCGAAUCCCCCCCUCACCGCCA
rnacentral:tRNA from 1 species